GAAUUUUGGGCAAUGGGCGCAAGCCUGACCCAGCAACGCCGCGUGAGGGAGGAAAUCCUUCGGGAUGUACACCUCACAAGCAAGGGAAGAGAGCUCAGGUCCUAAUAAGGUCUGAGUCCGACGGUACCUUGCGUAAGCCACGGCUAACUACGUGCCAGCAGCCGCGGUAAGACGUAGGUGGCAAGCGGUGUUCGGAAUUAUUGGGCGUAAAGGGCGCGUAGGCGGCUUGCUGAGUCGGUUGGGGAAGCCCGGGGCUCAACCCCGGAGGGUCGACCGAUACUGGCGGGCUAGAGUACGGAAGAGGUAGCUGGAAUUCCCGGUGUAGGGGUGAAAUGCGUAGAUAUCGGGAGGAACACCUGAGGCGAAGGCGGGCUACUGGGCCGAUACUGACGCUGAGGCGCGAAAGCCAGGGGAGCAAACGGG
rnacentral:rRNA from 1 species